UAGGGUGACCAACAGUUCAGUUUGUCCAGGAUUCUGUGGUUUCUCAGGAUGCAGAAUUAUCAUUAAUAAUGCCAGAAAGACUCCUGGGAAAACUAAAAUGCUUGGUCACCCUAGGUAGAU
rnacentral:pre_miRNA from 1 species